rnacentral:rRNA from 1 species
GCAGGCUGCAACUCGCCUGCAUGAAGUCGGAAUUGCUAGUAAUCGCGGAUCAGCAUGCCGCGGUGAAUACGUUCCCGGGCCUUGUACACACCGCCCGUCACACCAUGAGAGUCGGGAACACCCGAAGUCGGUAGUCUAACCUCGUGAGGACGCCGCCGAAGGUGGGCUUGAUAAUUGGGGUGAAGUCGUAACAAGGUAAC